rnacentral:rRNA from 1 species
CCUACGGGUGGCAGCAGUGAGGAAUAUUGGUCAAUGGGCGGGAGCCUGAACCAGCCAAGUAGCGUGAAGGAUGACAGCCCUAUGGGUUUUAAACUGCUUUUAUAAGGGAAUAAAGUGCCCCACGUGUGGGGUUUUGUAUGUACCUUAUGAAUAAGCAUCGGCUAAUUCCGUGCCAGCAGCCGCGGUAAUACGGAAGAUGCGAGCGUUAUCCGGAUUUAUUGGGUUUAAAGGGAGCGUAGGCGGUUCCAUAAGUCAGCGGUAAAAUCGUGGGGCUCAACCGUACAGUGCCGUUGAUACUGUGGGACUAGAGUAUGUGCAGGGUACAUGGAAUGCGUGGUGUAGCGGUGAAAUGCAUAGAUAUCACGAAGAACACCGAUUGCGAAGGCAUUGUACCGAAGCACGACUGACGCUGAGGCUCGAAAGUGUGGGUAUCAAACAGGAUUAGAUACCCCAGUAGUC